rnacentral:lncRNA from 1 species
CCAUUUUGCUUUCGAUUGGUCUAAGUAAGAUUUGCAUCUCUGCUAAUCUAGAUUUAGCAAAAACCAACUAUAUGACAGAAAAUAGUAAAUUCAGAAAAGCCUAUAUAAAUGAAGAUAUACAGCAUAAACGUCUAUGCAAACCAUGCCUGGCCGUUCAUGGGGUAAACCAUCAUCUAGCAAGCAUUUCCCAGAUGGGAAAGCUUUAGCUGUGAAGAGACAAUGCUGAAACCUACGAUUUUAAUUCGGGAAAACAUCGAACUAGAACUUGCAAUUAAGGACCGCCAAGUGUGAUUUUUACACAAUUCCACAUAAAAAUUGCACAUUGAAAUCAAGAGAAGAACAAUAGCUCAAAUGACGGAUCUGACAUGCCUCUGCCGGAUACCUCUCCUAAAUUCAUGCUCUGGCUUAGUCAUUGCAGACGAAUCACUGAAUGCAACAGCACAAUAUUAGCAGUGAGCCAACGAAGGGACAGAUCUGUGCAACUUUCUUUAUAGUUACGAGACCUUACAAUUGCUAAGUGAAACUUGAUAAACCAAGACAUCAGUUAUCAUCAGAUCAAACGUUAAGUUCAGCAGCUGCACCAAGUGCUCAAAAUCACAGUUGAACAUGUAAAAAGGCAAGAAAACUUUUGUACCUGCAGAUCCCUGGACAGCUGAAGCAAAGCUGAUGACACAGAGCAGAACCAGCUGGACAAUGAUCACUUGCAUCACCACCCCAAAUCUCAUUCAACACCAAAUCCCAAUCCUUACAACCCCAGCUCCCUCAACGAGGAUCUUGAUAACCAAUAAAACCCAAAUACAGUAGCUAAAAAAAAAAUUCAACUCUACAAAAAGAGAAGAUUGCUAAAUCAACAGACUUGAUAACACUUGAAGCAAGAUCGUGGAGGAAGGGAAUCAGAUCAGCAAGCCAGGGACCCCCGCGUACAGUGAGAGCAAAGCAACGCAAUAAAUUCUCUUUUUUCUUCCCUUCCCUUUGGUGGAGGGAACACAAAAGAAAAAAAAGGAAAGAAGAGAGAUUUAAUCAAUCUCUCUGCGACUAAACAACAUGUUCUGGAACCCGCAGAGGCUCUGACCACCAUAAACGCCUCCCUCUCCACCAGCACGAAAUUAAUUCCACGAAACUGAAACCGACCUACGAAUUGAAAUGCCCUGUGUACUCCAAGCAACCCCAAGAACUGAACAGUUACAGACAACAGACACCCUUUGCCACACGCGCACAGAGAGAGAGAGAGAGAGAGAGAGAGAGAGAGAGAGAGAAGGAGGGAGGGAGGUGGGGUGGGAUUAUUUUAUUCGGGGGAGGUUAGAUUUGAGUGGAGUGUUAAUGGGGAAUAACACGAGACCAGAAUCAAUGUUUACUUAAGUUGAAGUUGGACUCCCGCACGAAGUUGGUCUGCAUAAUUAAAUGGAGGGGGGGAAGGGAGGGCAGUUUCUCAAGUCCUGACUGGUUUGUUGCGUUCUUGUUCUGGUGAUGGCGACUCCUUUCGCUUUCGGGGAAGAAGACAGGGUAGUGGUGAAUUCAUCCGCCUGACUCAUCACCCACUAUUCUGCUCCUCGCCGCGGAUGAUCCGGAGUCGGGAGAGAAAAAGGUGAGAGGGAUUUCAUGGGAGGAUACGAUAUUUACCUGUCGUCCCCGACCUCUUGCUUCAAGCAACAGUUGAAGACUUUU